rnacentral:misc_RNA from 1 species
AAGUCGUAACAAGGUUUCCGUAGGUGAACCUGCGGAAGGAUCAUUAAAUGAAGCAACCUAGGAGCCUGAGAUAUGGCCACCGGGCACACCUUCCACCCUUUGUUUAUUACACUUUGUUGCUUUGGCAGGCCUGCCUUUGGGCUGCUGGCUCCGGCCGGCGAGCGCCUGCCAGAGGACCCAAACUCUGUUUGUCCGUAACGUCUGAGUACUAUAUAAUAGUUAAAACUUUCAACAACGGAUCUCUUGGUUCUG